AAUGAUGGGUUCUGGAAUGUUGGAUUCUUGAAUUGGGGGUUAUGAUAUGCUAAACUUGUAAAUCCUAGCUUUGUAGUGGGAAUGGCAGCACGGCUAUUGCCCUGCAUGUUGAAGGCAUUCUUUGUUGUGGAACGCUGGGUACUAAAAUUCUGAAAUUGCAAACUCUUGCUCAUAGAAUUCUAUGUUCUAUAAUACUCGAUUCUGGAAAGUUGGAUGACAAAAUUUUGGGUUCUGGAAUGCUAGAUUUCAGAAGAGUGCUGGAUUCUGGUAUGUGGGGUUACAGAACGCAUGGUUGUGGAAAUCUGGAAUUCUGGGUUCAGCCAUUCUGUGUCUGGAAUUCUAGGUUCUGGAAUUCUAGGUUCUGAAAUAUGUGGUUUCUGAAAGUCUUGUCCCUUCAUUCUGGAAUUCUUGAAUGUUAGAUUAUGAAAUGCUGAAUUUCAGAAUUCUGGCUUUAAUUGUGCUGGAUUAUGGUAUUUUUUUGUUGAAAAUGUUUAUUUCUCAAUGCUUGGUCUUUGAUUUCUGGAUUCUAUAAUUUUGAAUUCCAGAAUUAUGGCUCAAGAGUGCAAGGAUCUGGAUAUCUGGUUUCUGGAAUGCCGGGUUCUGCAAUUUUAGGUUUG